AAGCGUGAAGUAUUGAAAGUGAGGCCUGCCCAAUGAUUGUAUCUAAAUUUAAGGAAUAAAAAAAGUUAUUUAAUUAAGGACAAUUAAAUGGCCGCGGUAAAUCUGACCGUGAUAAUGUAGCGUAAUCAAUAGCCAAUUAAUUGUUGGCAAGUAUGAAUGGCGUAACGAAUGCCCUACUGUCUCAAGAUAAAAACCAAUGAAAUUGAAAUCGUAGUGAAGAUGCUACGUUAAAUUGUAAGACGAGGAGCCCCAUUGAGCUUUACUGGAGGCUUAUAUUGUUUUUUUAAAGUUAAGAUAUAGAUGAUGCGGGUGUAGGUCUGUUUUAAAACGGUUUUUAUAAUGAAAAACCGUUUUUUAAUUAUAAAAAAUCUUAUUAGUAUAAAGUAAAAAAGUGUAAGUUAGACAGUUUGGUUGGGCGACCGCCUUCUAAAGAGUAACGAAGGUGCACAUAAGGUAAAUAAUGUAAUAGUAUAAAGUAAAAAGCUUGACAGUGAGGGGGACUUCCAAGCUGACACAAGUUGGAUUUGGAAUUAAGGAUUCAAUAUUGUGGGUUAUAAUGACCCGUUAAUUAAGAGUGGGAUUAAUUAAGUUAACGAGUGGGAUUGUUAACGAGCAACGAAUAAAAGUUACCAUGGGGAUAACAGCGUAAUAUUGUUUGAGAGUUCAUAUCGAUGACAAUGUUUGCGACCUCGAUGUUGAAUUGCGAUAUCCUGGAGGUGCAGCCGUUUCCCAAGGGUUGACUGUUC
rnacentral:rRNA from 1 species